CCCUUAGUUAUCCUAGGCCGCACGCGUGUUACAAUGACUUUUUCAGCAAGUUCUCCUGGCCCGAGAGGGUGCGGGUAAUCUGAAAUCAAAGUCGUGUUAGGGAUAGAUCUUUGCAAUUAUAGAUCUUGAACGAGGAUUUUGUAGUAAGUGCGCGUCAUCACCGCGUACUGACUGCGUCCCUGCUGUUUGUACACACCGCCCGUCGCUUCUACCGAUUGAAUGUUCCGGUGAGUAAUUUGGACCCGGGGGGGCUUGCUCCUCUGGGGAAGUUUCACAAACCUAUGCAUUUAGAGGAAGAAGAAGUCGUAACA
rnacentral:rRNA from 1 species